UGGGAUUAAAGGCUUGUGCCACCACUUCCCGG
rnacentral:piRNA from 1 species